GACGAACGCUGGCGGCGUGCCUAAUACAUGCAAGUUGAGCGAUGAAGAUUGGUGCUUGCACCAAUUUGAAGAGCAGCGAACGGGUGAGUAACGCGUGGGGAAUCUGCCUUUGAGCGGGGGACAACAUUUGGAAACGAAUGCUAAUACCGCAUAACAACUUUAAACAUAAGUUUUAAGUUUGAAAGAUGCAAUUGCAUCACUCAAAGAUGAUCCCGCGUUGUAUUAGCUAGUUGGUGAGGUAAAGGCUCACCAAGGCGAUGAUACAUAGCCGACCUGAGAGGGUGAUCGGCCACAUUGGGACUGAGACACGGUCCAAACUCCUACGGGAGGCAGCAGUAGGGAAUCUUCGGCAAUGGACGAAAGUCUGACCGAGCAACGCCGCGUGAGUGAAGAAGGUUUUCGGAUCGUAAAACUCUGUUGGUAGAGAAGAACGUUGGUGAGAGUGGAAAGCUCAUCAAGUGACGGUAACUACCCAGAAAGGGACGGCUAACUACGUG
rnacentral:rRNA from 1 species